rnacentral:miRNA from 1 species
CAUCAAGUUUGGUGUUUAUGACGUCGAUAUUCAACGUCAUGAACACCAUCAAGUUUGGUGUUUAUGACGUCGAUAUACGACGUCAUAAACACCAUCAAAUUUGGUAUUUAUGAUGUCGAUAUUCAACAUCAUAAAAAUUAUCAAAUUUGGUGUUUUUGACGUCGAUAUACCACGUCAUAAAACCAUCAAUUUUGGUGCUUAUGGCGUCGAUACACGACGUCAUAAACACCAUCAAGUUUGGUG